rnacentral:lncRNA from 1 species
AGUUGUUGAUUGUAAGCGCUCUCAGAGCAAGAAAAUCAAUGUGUUAGAAUUUUACCUACAAAUUUUUCUGUAUGCAGUCAUUUUAUUUAUGUUAGCCUAAACAUGAUUUCACAGAAUCUCCUAUUCUGAACCAUUACAUUUAAAAUUUUUUUUCUCUUCUCCAAUAAGGGGAAUCCCACUUCUCACAAUCUGCUACUAAAAAUUACUUGUUUCAUUUUAAUACCAUCUGUAUUAUCAGUCUGAGAACUGUGAAACUAAACUCUUUAGAAGUAGCAUCAUCAGAAUUGUGUGCCUGCAUAUAGUUUCUUUUGGCUUUAAACUUACAGAUUGUACUCAUUGUCCUUUUUUUCUUAGACUGCUGUUGGUAUUUUUGUCUGUUUACCCCUUGGUGUCCUGGAACUCACUAUGUAGACUUCCCUUUCGUUCAUUUUCAUGAGCGAAGGCUUUUCAUACAUUUAUAAAAUAGAUUCUUUCAUCACAAUCUGCAUUCCAUCCUGAGAUCCUGUGAUCUCAUACUAUUUUGUAAAAUUUGUAGACCUUAAAACAGUUAUAUUUUUAUUGUUUUUUUUUUCUUUUUUUUCUUUUUUUUUAGCUUGCUAUGGGUUUCCAUGGAAUCAUUACAAAUAUAGUUUGUUCUUAUUCACUUCUGUUCAUGCUUGGUGCUGCAGUGCUCUGUGAUUUUUGUGUUAGCACUUAAUCAUGUUAAGGCAAACCUCAGAGGAAUCAACUUAAAAGAAAAAUAGGUUUAUUUUGGUUUAGAGUUUAAGGGAUUUAGUCUAGAACCUAUUUGGUUUUGUCAACUUUGUGCCUAUGAUGAAGCAGUAACAAAAAUGUAUGGUGUAGCAAAACCAUUUCUCUUUGCUGUGCAGACGAGAAGAGGAAGUGGAUAGGAUUCCAGUAUUUCCCCUCUUCAAGGCAUGUCUCCUAUGACUGCAGACUUCCUACUAUUAUUGUACCUCUUAAAGACUCCAUCUCAGUAGCAUGCUGCUCUAGGACAAAGCCUCUUUUUAACACAAGUAGUUAACUAAAUCAUAACAUAUAUAUCUGUUAUAUAGAAUACUUUCACAGCCCCAAACCAACAAAACAAAACCCUGAAACUUUAUUUUUCAUUUUUCCUCUCUCUAUAAAUACUCAUGUAUUUACUUUUUAUUAUUAUUUCUAUUUUUAUUUUAAAAAUUAUUUUAUGCAUAUGGGUAUUUUGCCUUCAAGUAUAUCUAUAUUCCAAUUUGUGCAGAAACCUCAGAGGCUAGAGUAGGGAGGGUUUUAUGUGCUGUGAUGUUCCCAUUUCUUUCAUAUAACUAAGUAAACAAACAUUACACCAACAAAAGAAAGAAAAGAUACCCUGGAACUGGAGUUACAAAUAGUUGUGAGCCACUAUCGGAGUCCAGGGGAUUGAACCUGGGUCCGCUGGAAUAGUAGCUAAUGCUCUUAACUUCAGGGCCAUCACUCCAGCCUGAUACAUUUCCAUUCAUAAAAGUAAAUGCUGAUUUAAUGAAUUAUAACAGACAUUACAUUAUUUUCAUUGCUAUGUAGAGAUCUGAGGAUGUGUCUUUGGAGAAGGAGUGAGGCACACAUAUUCUUAAGACAUUUGUAUGAUCCCCUUGGGAAGGAAAAAGUAAUAUAAAUGAAGACUGGAACACUGCAAGAACAUUAGAAAAUCAUUUGCUAGUGUCAGGCAAUUUGAAAUAGUAGAGAAAGUCAGUCAAGAUGAAGUGUCAAGGUUGCAGGGAGGUAGAUUGAUUUGUAGGGAACUUGGAAAUCUGGACAAGAUUUAAGUGGGUGCGUUGGUAACUGAACCUGUUGAGAUGGAGGAAAAUAAGGGAAAGAGCUAAAUAUCUAAAGAAAGCAGUAUUAAUUAGUUUUCAAAAGGUAAAUGCAUGUGUAGAAUAUAGGGGAGAUUAUCAGGUAAAAUAUACAUAUGUGCUUUAAGGUUUUCUUCUUUGUCUCUUUGCCCGUUCUCUAGUUUCAUUUAUGGGUUUAAAGUCAUAAAAGUAAAUAAGCAGUAAAAAUAUUGAGAGUCAAAAUUUUUAAGUUAAAAAUCUGAAAAUUUUUUAUAUUUUGUUUUCAUGUUUCUUUUUCUCUUUAAUAUAGAUGAAUUAUCACCACCUUGCUCUGAACAACACAACAGGGAACAAAUUUUAAUUGGCUUGGAAAAGUUUAUUCAAAAAGAAUAUGAUGGUAUGUCAUAGGCUAAAAGUUGGUUGUUAUUGCUACUAUAAUCACAUAGUUUUGAGUUUGAUUGACUUAAUGUUUAACUGUUAUAUGUUAUAUACUAUUUUAGUCUCUGUGGCUGUGUUACUAAUAACAGAGAUAAGAACUGCUUGCAUGAGGAGUAUAUUUAAGACAGGAUAGUAGUCAACUUGAGAGAUAAAUAUAAAUAUUUCAGUAAAUAUUAAAUGAUAUUAAAAGUAUUGUGAUAAAAGAAGUGAUAGGUUGGGUAGUAAAUCCCUUUUGAGGUAGCAUUUGAGUUGAGUCUGAAUAAUAUGAAGGAACAAAUUAUAUGAAAUCCUGGAGAGUACAUUAUGUAAAGGAAGGGUAGAUUCCAAGACUUAGAUUCUAUCUGAUGUGUUUAGAGACCAACUGGGAGGUCCAGUAUGUUUGGAGUGGAAUAUGCAAGAUAGGUUGUAAAUAGAAAGACAAGGUCAUAGAGAUAUUUUAAGGACUAGAUCAUUAGAACCUUUUGGACAUUGAUAGAAGGACUUUUCAUUUAGUGAAAGCCAUGUAGAAUUUGUAGCAUUAAAUGAUACGAUCUCAGUGAACAGAUUGUAGCACUAUGAGAGUACAAGCAAGAACAUUGAGAGAACUGCGACAUGAGUACAGAUGAAGCACAGCAGUUCUGGAGGUCAGUGGUCAGAAACGGGUUAUGUUUGAAGAUAGAACUAACAGGAAUUGCCGAAGCAUGUCUAAUGUAAAAGAAAGAAAGAAACCAUGCAUGAUAUGAAAUGAAGGCUUUUGCUCCAAAAUACCAGAAUAGACAAGUUUUGUGUGUUUUGUUUUUGUUUUUUAGCACAAGAAUGAAGAAUCAGGAAUUUUGUGAUUAAAUAUUUUCAAAAAGGAUAUUUAUAGUAAUUUAUAUAAGGCUGGAGAGAUGCCUUACUAGGUAGUGUUUGUAAGCAUGAGGACCUGAAUUUUAUUCCCAGAAUCAAUAUAAAAACACAGGGUGUAGGGUAUGCAGAGAUGGCUCAGCAGUUGAGAACACUUCUUCCAGAGAACUGGAGUUUGAUUCUUAGUACUAGUAUUCAGUAGACUAUCUGUAACUCUAGCUCUAGGAGAUUCAACACUCUCUUUUGGUCUCUACAGGGACUUGCAUGCGUGUGUCCAUACAUGUACUCAUGUGUACACAUUUGUAACUGGAGUACUGGAGAGGCAAUGAGAGGUCCUGUUCCUAGUGCUCACUAAUCAGCUAUCCUAGCCUAGUUGAUGAGGGGCAGGCUAAUCUUAAGUCUGUCUACUCCCUUUUAAAUAAAACUCAACAUUCAAUUUUAUUUGAUCAUCAUAGCUCCUUUUUUAUGAAUAUAUUAUAUAUUUGAAAAUUAAGGUCUCAUACUUUGCAGUAUUUUAUAUUGCAAAUACUUUUAAAAAUAUUUUGUUUUAGUAGAUUUCAAAUGAAAACUCCUAAAAGUCUGGACCUCUUAGGCUGGUGAGAUGACUCAUUGGGUAAAAGUGCUCAGCCUACUGACCAGAAUUUGAUCCCUUAGACCCAGGAGGCAGAUGGAGACAACCAACUUCUGUGAAUUGUUUUCUGCCUUCCAAACAUAAGUGUUGUGGCACACACAUGCACAUGUACAAAUAAAGUUUUAAAAAUUAAAAAUACAUGGACUAUAUCACAAAUUUAUAUGCCAUCUUUGCAUAGAGGCCUUGCUAAUCUCUAUAUUGUUUUAGUGUUGUUAUAUGUGCUGCUGAACUGCUGAGCCCUUUAGUUUCUUUUAUCUUUCUUCAUUAUCAUUGAAAUUUAAUCAGUAUUACAUGGAAUGAUUUUUUUUCAGAGCAUGAAAUUUAUUGUCUAACUAUAUAAUUAAAGGCCAGUGAGAUGGCUUAGCAGGUGAAGGCACUUGCCACCAAGUAUGACAAUCUGAGUUCAGUCUCUGGGACCUACAUAGUAAACAAAGACAUCCAACCCAGACAAGUUGUCUUCUAUCUAGAUGUGCAUAUUGCAUGCCUCCACUAAUAAAUACAUAAAUUUAAAUGUGUACUUAAACUUGUAAAUUAUUUGUUUGAGAGAGUGUUAUUGGAGAAUGAGAAGGAACAAUUGUAACAGGGUUUAUAUCUAGUGAAUUGAGCUGAAUAUGGGAGGAAAAUUCCCUAUAUAUUGAGGUGAGAAUUUAAAAGUACUUGAAUUCUACACUGAAAGCACAGGUUUAAAGAGAUGAGCUAUUAAAUAUUGAGCUUAACCUUUGGUACUCCUGUUGAAGAACAACAUUAGAUGGUUGAGCUGGAAGAAGCUGAAGGUCUUAUGAUUGACUUGUGCAGGUCGAGCAAGGUAUUAAAUGAUGUCAUACCUUCCUGGUGAGUGUCUGAAUAGUAAUGCUCUUUGCUGAGAGUUGGUGUAUUAAUUACUUGUCUCCUUGCUUUGACAAAACACCUGAAAAGAGCACUUUUAAGGAAGGAUGGGGGGAUUUAUUUUGGCUUACAGUUUCAGAGAUUAGAGUCUUUCAUGGCAGCAGGAGCAGGGCACAGUGUGUCCAGGUAGGAAGCAGGAAAUGGUGAAGAUUUGUGUUCAGCACAAUUUCUCCUUUUUAGUCAGUCCAUGUAAUCAUACCAACCACAUUAAGGAUAGGUACUCUACCUCAGAUAUCAUAAUCUAGAUAAUUUCUCAUAAACGUGUUUAGUGAUUCCCCCAUAGAACUAUUACAUCAACUUUAUCCAUCACAGUUGGAAUUAUAGGAAUAAUAGUCGGUCUGAAUGACAUAGAUACUUUAUACCUAUACAAUUUAUGAUACGUGG